UUUCCUGUUCUUAUGUCGAUACCGAAACUGAAACUGAGGUGAUGGUGGCGCUAGUGUCGCCACCAUCGUCCUGCCGCUUUUUUUUUUUUCUUCUUCUUCCCAGACAUGGCGGCGUCCUGCAUUUCGCGUGUGCGUCGUAGUGUCGAGUUUUGUUCAUGCUGUCGACCUUUACUGCGUUACCUCGCAUUGUGUGUUGUGUGUUGCGGUUACUAACGUAAGCGCAAGUUCUUCACUGAGUAUGAUGCGCGGCAGCGUGCAAAUAGUCACCAGAUGCCGGCCGUGCGACUCCGUUCUCUGCGACUCCUUUGUUCGGUGUGAUCGAGGGACGUGAUUCAUGCUUUGGAGACCCUCUUUAGACCGUGCCCUCAUCAAAUGUUUCCACACAUCAGUGAGUAGCAGCACCGCAAUCCUUACUCGACGACACGCUCUGUGGGCCUGGAAAAUACCUUGACGUUCGAGCACUUCGGGAGCUAUACCGGCGGACAGCCGGACGCGGGUAGCUUGGCCGUUCCUUGCUCUGCACAUCGCUUGAAAACCGGCGGUCAUCCUGCAGCGUACGCUGCCAGCGUGCUUUCUUGCCAGAGCCGCCUCCCCUGCUGGUGAUGACCAUAUGCAGCCAGUGCUGAUGUGAACCUGAGUGAUGAACAAAUGCAGAUCUGCAAAGGAGCUGUCCUGAAGCACCAUGCUUACUCAAGUCAUGCAGCGAGAGUCAGGUAAAUGUUAUGUUUCACAUCCUGCAGCUGUGUUCGUGGUUCACUUGCAAAACUGUCAUAUUUUCAUGAAUUAGCAAUGUGGGGACAUUUUCUUCAAGACUGCGGUUGAGCAGCAAACAGUCGUGCCACUCUUCACCAUCUUAAAUGAAGGUAGGCAUGCAAGCAUGGGCACAAGGGAGAAAUCGGGACAACAGAAUUGCUGACUAACAGCUGAAGAAAUGCAGAGCGGCUGAAAAGAAGGUAGACACAAACACGCAUGGGGCAACACUUAUUAAUCUGGUAGAUGUGGGGCUUUACGUGAGAGAAAUGUGAUUUCGAUACUAGCGAAUAGUAGCUUGCAUUCAUUGAAUUUUGGUGUGCAUAUACACCCUCGACAAUGCAAAGAUAAUUUAGUGUGUUAGCCACUGCAGCCCCUCUGUCCUAUGUAGAAACAGCCACAGCUUUAAAGAACUUUAUAAACCAGAGCUACACAGCAAUCAGUAAACUAGUGGGUGUGUCUUGCAAAAACAUAUUUGAGUCUGCCUUUUGUCUAUUCCCGGCUCACUCUUUCUCAGUACAGUGGCGCAAAUCUUACCCAGCCCAUUGGCAGCCAUAAGGGCAACAUUAAUGCCUUAUCUACUUCUCACUUUCUUUAGCCUAUGAGAUAAGCACUGAAUGUAAGGAACACCUAAGACGCGCUUGUUACUAUUGCUUUCUGCAACCACGUUCAGACGUAACAAAAUGUGCUUCUUUAAACAUUGAGCUACCGAGGCUACAAUGCAAGAAUGACCUACAUCUAAUAGAUGCCUAACCAGUUCAUUAAAGCUGGUGUUCAUUGUGUGCACACACGACUUGGUGAGAAAAUGCUUGGAUGAGAAGUUGAACAGUAGUUUUGAAGAUCUAGGAGCAUACUGCCAUCACACGUGGUUCCCCAGAAACACUAAGGUAAUGUCCUGAAAUUGUACUAUUCUGUCAUUAUUCUGAGCCAAUUAUUUAGAAAGGUUCAGCCCUCGUUCAAUCACAUCAAAUUGUCGAUUCACUAAGGUAACCACGGUUUCAAGUUUAUCACCGCUACAAAAAAUUAUUCAUGUAAUUGUCUACGUAAUGAAAAACCUCAAUAAUAUCUUUACCUAAGGCCUCCUCCAAGCAUUUGUCAACUGUGCUAAGGUAUAAAUCAGUGAGAAUUGGGGCAUCUUUAAAUCAAUGCAAGUUCAAUUCUGUGCAUGUUACGCUUACUUGAUAUUUUGUUGUGGUUACCAAUUUGAAUCCAUGGUUACCUCAAUGAUUCAACAAUUUGAGUUAAAUGGAGGAUGGCCAAAGUUUACUGAAGUAUUGCUUCAGAAUGAUAGUAUACAAACUUUAGGCAUUUCCUUAGCAUUUCAGGAAAACCAAGUUUGUUAGCAGUAUUCUUCUGGAGCUUCAAUACUGUUGUCAAACUUCAACUCCAAGCAUUCAAAGCUUAGAAAAAACGCUAUUUUCAUGUCAUGCUUUAACUCAUCUGUCACCAGUCUGUACACAAAAUGAAGGCCAGCUUUAACGCACAGGUUACGCAUCCAUUAGAUGCAGGUUAUCCUAGAUUUGCAGUAGCCACUGUCACUGAACGUUUAAAGAAGCUGAUUGUGUCACGUGCAAACAUGGAUGCAAAAAUUAACAGUAACAAGCAUGCCUUAGGUAUUCUUUAUACUCAUUGCUUAUGUCACAGGCUAAAGAAAGUGAGAAGUGCAUACCAUGGUAAUGCUCUCUUUACGGCUGCCAAUAAGCUACGUAAGAUUUGCGCCACCUUGCAGAGAGAAUAAACAGAUAAUAGACAAAAGUGCACUAACAUUCAUUUCGUAGAACACAUCAAAAAUUUACCGAUUGCGGUACAAGUGUGGUAUAAUGUUUCUCUUCGCUGUUGCUGCUUCUCCAAAGAGCAAAUGGGCCGCUAUGUUUACCAGAGAUUAACGAAACAUCAGGAGUCAUAAACUAGAGGUUUACCAUCUAAUAUAAUCUUGCAUUGUCGAGAGUGUAAAUGCACGCCAAAAUUAAAUGAAUGCGUAGUUUCAUACAACAGUGGAAGUGUAAAAACCUGUAAUGGUAGAAGCUUGGCAUAUCGAUAGUAGUGGAACCGCAUGUGUGAGCCAUCUGUCGGCUGACUUGCAUGACGAAGAAAUCAGAUUCCUGAAGUGUUAUCUCUCACGUAAAGCUCCAAGUGUGCCGGAUUGAUAAGUGUCUCCCUAUCCCUGCUCAUGCGUGUAAAGGUAUUUGUGUCCACUUUCUUUUCCACCACUG
rnacentral:lncRNA from 1 species